AAGUCGUAACAAGGUUUCCGUAGGUGAACCUGCGGAAGGAUCAUUAAAAAAUGUGGUACCAAUUGUUGGUACUAAUUAAUCAUCCUACCCUUUGUGAAUUUGUUUGUAUGAAUUUUUUUAAAUGGGUCUUUCCCUAAGUUGGAUUGUAGUAAAAUACAAAAAUACUUAGGGGAAUGACUUUUUUAAAAGACUUUUUUUUAAAUUAAAACUUUUUGUAUUCAUUUGUCUAAAAUUUACUUUUAUAAUAUAAAAACAACUUUUGACAAUGGAUCUCUUGGUUCUCGCAACGAUGAAGAACGCAGCAAAAUGCGAUAAGUAGUGUGAAUUGCAGAAUACGUGAAUCAUCGAAUCUUCGAACGCAUAUUGCACUUUUUUAGUUUACUAAAAAAGUAUGUCUGUUUGAGUAUCAGUAAAAUAUUCUCACAAACAUGUAUUGUUUGUGGUUAUGAGUGUUUUACAACGAUAAACAAGUUGUUUCACUUUAAAUUCUUUUUGUAAGUUUUACCAAUUUACAAAUUAAAAUGGAUAAAAUUUUCCUUUAACGAGGAAUAACCUAAACAAUUUUAAAUUUUAUGGUUAGUACAUCACAUGAAGGAAUCUAUACACAAAUAACUUGAUCUCAAAUCAGAUAAGAGUACCCGCUGAACUUAAGCAUAUCAAUAAGCGGAGGAAAAGAAACUAACAAGGAUUCCCUUAGUAACGGCGAGUGAAGCGGGAAGAGCUCAAAUUUGAAAUCUUCAAGGCUUGACCUUGACGAAUUGUAGUUUAUAGAAGUGUUUUCUGUUGGAGUUUUGGUAAAAGUUCUUUGGAAUAGGACAUCAUAGAGGGUGAGAAUCCCGUAUUUGACCAUGACUUUCCAGCUGUGUGAUACACUUUCAAAGAGUCGGAUUGUUUGGGAAUGCAGUCCAAAAUGGGUGGUAAAUUUCAUCUAAAGCUAAAUAUUGGCGAGAGACCGAUAGCGAACAAGUACCGUGAGGGAAAGAUGAAAAGAACUUUGAAAAGAGAGUUAAACAGUACGUGAGAUUGUCAAAAGGGAAGCGUUUGACACCAGUGUUGUUUUCUCGAAAAUCAAUUUAAUGAGUUCUUGUUUUUAAGUUAUUGUGACUUUAUCAGCGCAUUUCUUAUUUUACUUGACUCAUUGAAUGCACUUUUCGUUUAACAAGUCAACAUCAAUUUCUUUGGUGGUAAAAAGUUUAAAGGAAGGUGGCUUGGACUUCGGUUCAAGUGUUUAUAGCCUUUUUUCUAUGCCAUCGGAGAGAUUGAGGUCUGCAGCGUAGAUCCUUCGGGGUUAGAUACCUUUGUGCUAAGUUAUAGUUUUUUAUAGACAACUUGUUGACUAUAAUUAACCCUGUAAUUUACUCGCUUAGGCUAUUUUACCUACGCUUAGGAUGUUGAG
rnacentral:misc_RNA from 1 species